GAAGGAAAGGGUGAGGAGUUGCCAAAUAGGAUUGUGGGUGAGAACAUGAUGCUUCCUAGAGUCCACUGGUGGGAGGAAAGGGGGGCUCUGCCCUGCUCUGCAGAAGUGGCCAGUAGGAGCUAUGCUGGCCCGUGUCUUGACCCUGGUUUUCAAGAGUUAUGUCCCAGUUGAGCUUCAGGAGCCACACUGUGGCUCUCUGGGAAGCAGAAGGGCAGCUACUUGGCUGCUGAAGGGAGAACAAGGAGGUUUGUCUGGGAGCACUUCAGGAACACUCAGCUGAAAGUGCUUCUUUAUAAGAGCUGUCCACUGUUGUCAGGGCUUCUUGUGCUUAGGACAGAGUAAGAAGCUCAGUGGUACUCUCCUCAUAAAAGAGAGAUGGGAGACUGCCGGACCCUGAGGGCCUCUCAGCCUGAAGCCUUGCUCGAACAUUAUCACUGUAGUCCUGUGAUUGGAACUCAGGAAUCUAGUCUUUCUAGGGUUUGCUGGCCCCAGUCCUCCCUUCUGGGGGGCACUACCCCAGCUCCUGAUCCUGACCUUCCCUGGGGACCAGCAGACGAUAGGAGAAGCAUCCUUUUAGAUAUACUGCUUGCGAUGGCCUUGCUUCCUGGGACUCAAUACACAGGAGAGGGAGUAACACCUCUCCCUGCCUGGCUCACAUUGCACAGCCAUUUCUGUGGGCCAGACUU
rnacentral:lncRNA from 1 species